GUCUGGACUGACUGGAGUAUAUUUAUACAAACCUUUGGUUUUCACUAGUUUUAUACCAGUUUACAGUAUUUUUAUGAUCUUACAUUGAUAACUUUAAAAGAAAGUAACCAACAUGGAAUGCAGCUUUGUUGGGAGAUGUGAUUUAGACUGUUCUGAAGAAAUACAGCAUCUCGUGAAUUUCAGCUCGGAUCAAUUUAUCUGAAGUAGGCCUUAAACUUGUGUUGCAUUCGCUAAAUACAACAACUAUCAAAUAUACACGAGCCAUUUUAACUUUUAUUUGAAAUCAAAUACAAAACGAUCAAGAAGGAAGCUGUGUCAAAUCCCAAGUUUACUAAGCUCCCACCCUCACAUAGACAACACCAGAGAAGAUGGACUUAGAUCUCUUCCUAUUCGUACGCAUAUAAAAAGUGCAAGCAGGGGAUUAAAGGAGAGUGAUAUCAUCCAUUUGAUAAGUCAUGCUGGUAUAAAACUACCUGUGAAUACACCAUGCUGUCCCAUGUGUCUUAAGGAAAUAAGAGAGGAACAUGAGAAUGAAGAGGAUCAUUACAUGGGGUGUUCAACAUCAGACAAAGACAAGCAACUACAGCAAGCUACAUCCACUGAGAUGGAAGGGUCUUAUCUCUCAGAAGCAAGGGAACCACCUAGCAUUACAGUUACUGAAGAUACAAUUAGUACUCAAACUUCUUGUGAAAAUACUGAAAGUACAUGUAGCCUUUCUCAGACAUCUUGUGACAUCAAGUACUAACUCAAACCAGAGUUUUACAUUUAGCCAUGACAUUCAGCACCUGAAUGAGUAUCUUAAAAUAAUUGGUGAAAGAGAAUUCUCAGAUGAUGGAAGAUACCAGUGGGACUCUUACUCUAAGUCAGCUAAAUCUUACUACACCAAACGAUUUAGAAACAUCUUGACAAAAUUGAUCACCAUUAUUUUCCCAAAAAAUGUUGAAGAAGUGGUGAAGAAUCUUCUAGUGUCUGAAGAAAAUCAAAAAAUGACACCCAGUAUCAUAUCCGAAGGAACAUUUGGACCACUCGUUCAUGCAUAUCAAACUUCAGAAACAUGGCAUCACAGACUGCAAAUUCUCUCUUAUUUUACGCAAACUUUAUCAUUCAAAGAAGCAAAAUCCCUUUUACCAAACAUAACAGAAUCAAAGUACUAUGCUGCUAAGAAUCAUGCAAAGAAAGUUGGCCCUGGUCUUCCUGUAGGUACAACUUCUACAAGAAAAAGAAUGGAUCCAGUGAAGUUGGACAGUUUUCUGGAUUUCAUUACUUCUCCUCAUGUUAUUCGAGAUCUACCAUAUGGAGAAAGAAAGAUUAAAUUGACAGACGGAACAGUAUAUGAAAUGCCAAACGUAGUUCGUUGCAUGGGAUCCAGUGAUGUUAUUCAACAGUAUAAAGCCUACUGCUCUGAAAAUAACAUUUCUCCUCUUGGUGACAGUACAAUGUAUAGGAUCCUGUCUGAGUGUGGAGCGCAAAUAAGAACCAGUCUCGAGGGUAUUGACUACUUCAUUGCUGAGGGAGGUCGUGCAUUCCGCACCAUUUUGGAUGCUUUGGAGGAACUCCUGAAGUUUCAAGUUUUAAACCAACAGGAGAAAAAAGACUUCUCUGCCUUCUUUCUCCAAUGUAAACAGUAUCUUCGUGCAGAUUUCAAGCUCAAACUCCAAAAUGCUACGCAAAGUAUCACAAAUUUGAAACGUCAUCUCAUUCGAUGCAGAAACCAGGACUCAGCAAAAUCUGAUCUCUUUGACAUGAUGCAACAUAAUGGAGAGCUUUUUAUCUGUGACUGGUCCAUGAAGUACCUCCCACGAAAGUAUAGAGAAGACCAAAGUGAUUGGUUUUGGAAGCGUGCUCUACCAUGGCACAUCACAAUGGCAUUCCACAAGACAGAAACUUGUAUUGAGAGCCUAGGCUUUGUCCACAUCUUUCAGAGCCAGUCAGCUAUCCGAAGCUUUGUUAACCAAGGACAUGAUGUUCUAACGUACAGCACAUUCAAUGAAAGAGGUUUGGCAAUUGAGAAAACUCCAAAAAAUGUGAAGUACAGGGUUAGCGUUUCAGAAGUUGCUUCACAAAAGACAUCCUUCAAGCCAUUUCCUGCCAUCAGCUCCUUACUCAAACUUUGUAUUUUAGGAAGAAGGCAUACGUGUUUGGAAAGCAUAUUGUAUUGGUACAGGUUUAUUGAUCCCAAAUACUGCCAUUCAAAGUAUGGAGCACCUGCCAUUAACCAUUUUGGAGCAACCAGAGGACAUUGGUUUCCAUAUGAUAAAAGUCAACACAACUACAGAAACAGAAAAGACCUUCCAUUGCCCAAAUAAGGGUUGCGUUGCAGCUUUUGGCUCAAGUGAGGAUUUAUCCAACCAUCUUCUUUUUGAAAAGUGUAACCUUGAAUUGGAACUAAGUUCAAGUUCCAUAGCAGAUCGUACAAAAAGAAAGUACAUGUAUGUAACAAAAAUAUCUCAUUCAGAGAAUCUUUAUUAUUCAGUUAUUUUUGACUGAAGACACAGAGACACAAGCAGUAGAGAGUGAAUUGACCUCUGACUGGGCUUUGAAUGAUGAGAGACGCUCAAGGAGAUUUAAUGAAAAUCAGAGAGUUUUUUUAGUCCAAAAAUUUAACAUCGGACUUCAGACAGGAAAAAAAGAGGAUCCUUUUAUUCUCUCUGAAUCAAUGAUGUAUGAAAGAAGGGCAUACGGUACAAGGCGUUUUUCAUACAAUGAGAUACUGUCCAUGCAGCAAAUAACUUCCUUCUUCUCAAGAAUGAGCAAGAAAAACAAGAUGGCUGAAGCUGAAAAUUGGGAAGCCAAGAAGGAAACAGAAAUUAGGAGAAUAAGAGCAAAUAUUAUUGAUGAAUAAUUCACUAGACGUAAUCAGCAUUGCUGUUGUUGUAUUCAUAUUGUUGAUUCUUUUUUAUAGGAAAUGUAUGCUGGGA
rnacentral:sRNA from 1 species